GAUGAAGAACGUAGCGAAAUGCGAUAAGUAGUGUGAAUUGCAGAAUUCAGUGAAUCAUCGAAUCUUUGAACGCACAUUGCGCCCCUUGGUAUUCCAUGGGGCAUGCCUGUUCGAGCGUCAUUUGUACCUUCAAGCUCUGCUUGGUGUUGGGUGUUUGUCUCGCCUCUGCGUGUAGACUCGCCUCAAAACAAUUGGCAGCCGGCGUAUUGAUUUCGGAGCGCAGUACAUCUCGCGCUUAGCACUCAUAACGACGACGUCCAAAAGUACAUUUUUACACUCUUGACCUCGGAUCAGGUAGGGAUACCCGCUGAACUUAAGCAUAUCAAUAAGCGGAGGA
rnacentral:misc_RNA from 1 species